rnacentral:rRNA from 1 species
CCUACGGGUGGCUGCAGUGAGGAAUAUUGGUCAAUGGUCGAGAGUCUGAACCAGCCAAGUAGCGUGAAGGAUGACUGCCCUAUUGGUUGUAAACUUCUUUUAUCUGGGAAUAAAACGUUCCACGUGUGGGAUUUUGUAUGUACCAUAUGAAUAAGGAUCGGCUAACUCCGUGCCAGCAGCCGCGGUAAUACGGAGGAUCCGCGCUUUAUCCGGAUUUAUUGGGUUUAAAGGGAGCGUAGGUGGAUUUUUAAGGCAGUCGUGAAAGUUUGCGGCUCAACCGUACAAUUGCAGUUGAAACUGGCAGUCUUGAGUACAGGAGAGGUGGGCGGAAUGCGUGGUGUAGCGGUGAAAUGCUUAGAUAUCACGAAGAACUCCGAUUGCGAAGGCAGUUCACUGGACUGCAACUGACACUGAGGCUCGAAAGUGUGGGUAUCAAACAGGAUUAGAUACCCGAGUAGUC